rnacentral:rRNA from 1 species
UGCCAGACUCCUACGGGAGGCAGCAGUGGGGAAUAUUGCACAAUGGGGGGAACCCUGAUGCAGCGACGCCGCGUGGGUGAAGAAGUCAUCCGUGACGUAAAGCCCUAUCAGCAGGGAAGAAAAUGACGGUACCUGACUAAGAAGCCCCGGCUAACUACGUGCCAGCAGCCGCGGUAAUACGUAGGGGGCAAGCGUUAUCCGGAUUUACUGGGUGUAAAGGGGGCGCAGACGGCAGCGCAAGCCAGGAGUGAAAGCCCGGGGCCCAACCCCGGGACUGCUCUUGGAACUGCGCGGCUGGAGUGCAGGAGGGGCAGGCGGAAUUCCUGGUGUAGCGGUGAAAUGCGUAGAUAUCAGGAGGAACACCGGUGGCGAAGGCGGCCUGCUGGACUGCGACUGACGUUGAGGCCCGAAAGCGUGGGGAGCAAACAGGAUUAGAUACCCCCGUAC